UUUUAUCUGCUAGUUGCCUGUUCUUGAUCUCGCAUGUGUAGGAGCUUAAUUUCAUUUUCAAAACUCUUUUUCCAUUUAGUUCUAAAAAAACUCUUUUUCCUUUUCUAUUUUCCAUUCGCACAGAUAGAUCUUGCUGCAAUUGAGAUCGACUACACAUGCAGCUUGCUAUUCCUGCACAGCUAUUUAGAUGCAUAGGUACUUGAAUCUGGACUAUUUUAUUUAUUUACUCUUAGUUUAUCUCACUUCUGCGCUAUCUGAAACAUCAGGAGCUGUUGCAUCUCAGUGUUGGUUUUGGGCCUAAUCUUCCAGGGCGUUGUUGGUGCAGUAAUGAAGCUAACUGCUGGUGCUGGUACCAUGGUGUGGAUAUCUAUCAUCUGGGAAGAUUGGCUAGAAGUAUCUUGUGAUGUGCUGCCUUUUGUUUAGGUGCCAUGGUGCUCGUCGGCAAGCUUGGCUAGGCAUCAGAGGAUUUGAGGUGGACACCAUGAUCUCCACUGAAAGUGCCAUCUUUUGGUAGUACCCAUCACCAUUAGAUGUUUAGGGAAAAAUUUCCCUUGAUCAUCACUUGAUGGAUUUCUCACAGAGAGCAUCGGUUGUACAAUAGAUUCUGAGUUUUAUGAGAGGAUGGUAUAUAUAGUAUAGAGAUUUGUAUAGAUCAUUAUGAAAAUGUAAGUUCGGAGUGGCAGAUAACACAAAUAUGACUCCACCUUGUGUGUUUAUGGUAAUUAUGCACCGGCUCGGAAAAAAUUGUGUGGUGCUUGUAUGCUCGUGGUCCUGAAUCACAUUUUAUGUUGUCUCAUAGGUCCUGAUGUAAAGAACAUUUAGUUUAAUCAAGAGUUGACGCAUUCACCAGCCAA